UGGGGAAUAUUGCACAAUGGGCGCAAGCCCUGAUGCAGCCAUGCCGCGUGUGUGAAGAAGGCCUUCGGGUUGUAAAGCACUUUCAGCGAGGAGGAAGGUGGUGAACUUAAUACGCUUCAUCAAUUGACGUUACUCGCAGAAGAAGCACCGGCUAAGCUCCGUGCCAGCAGCCGCGGUAAUACGGAGGGUGCAAGCGUUAAUCGGUAAUUACUGGGCGUAAAGCGCACGCAGGGCGGUUUGUUAAGUCAGAUGUGAAAUCCCCGGGCUCAACCUGGGAACUGCAUUUGAAAACUGGCAAGCUAGAGUCUCGUAAGAGGGGGGUAGAAUUCCAGGUGUAGCGGUGAAAUGCGUAGAGAUCUGGAGGAAUACCGGUGGCGAA
rnacentral:rRNA from 1 species